CUCGUAGGCGGCCAACUAAGUCAUACGUGAAAUCCCUCAGCUUAACUGGGGAACUGCGUGUGAUACUGGAUGGCUUGGAUUUGGGAGAGGGAUGCGGAAUUCCAGGUGUAGCGGUGAAAUGCGUAGAUAUCUGGAGGAACACCGGUGGCGAAGGCGGCAUCCUGGACCAAUAUUGACGCUGAGGAGCGAAAGCUAGGGGAGCGAAACG
rnacentral:rRNA from 1 species